AUUAAAAAGUGACUACUGUGUGUAAAGCUGGAGUGAGGAUGAGUAUGCUCCAAUGCUAAUGAUUAAUGAUGCGGCUCAUGCGCAUGCUAAGCUGGGAAUCUUGCAUCCUCCCUGGGGUAUGAUCCCACUGAAAGCUCUCAGAAAAAAAAAAUCUUAAAUGAAAACAUCAAGGCUUUUCCACAUUUCAGCAAGGCAUGCUCAUGUAACCAUCCUGAGGGAUGUUACGGAUUUGAAAAGGAGAGACAAAAUGAAAAGGACAGAAGAAAAGGCAGUGAAAGAGAAAACCUUAGUCAAAUGUAUCCAAGCUAUGGACAGAUGUUGGGUGGUCCAGCAGGAUAUCCUCAGAGCUUUGUUAGAUGUUCUAAAGAUGAUGAGGUGUUAUAUUUGAUCAAAAGCAGCUGAGCAGGUUUCCUCCGGGCCCUUGGGUUUUCUUCCAGCAACCAAAAAGAGCAUUGUGAAGGAGUGUGGGAGUAUGUCUACAUACAGUAGUGACUUGUGAUUGACUAGUGUACCAGUCACAGGGAGAAGUCCCAGGUCAUAUCAGGAGAAGUCCCAACUCAUACCCAGUGUUCCAGGAGUGGUUCUGAAUUUAGUAUGAAUUAAUUAAAGAAUAAACAACACACAACAAUUAUAUUCACAAUUGUACUAAGGUCAGAACGAACUAAAAGGACUAUCAUUAAAUAAUAAACUUGAAAUGAAAUGAUAAUCUAUUCUACAUUUUACCAGCAACAUCAUUAGAUUCUCUUGGCAGAAACAGAUGCAAAUAUGCUAUAAGACCUUCUCUAAACCCUAUCUGUAAGGUGUUGAACUCUGAUGUUUGUAGAGUUAUGAUCAUAUAACAACGUGGUCAUGAUAUUGUAGGCGACAUAAUUAUAAAGUGAGGUUGUCAUUAUAACAGCCCAUUUAAUCAGCCUGUGGGAUUUUGAUUGUAGUUUUGAUUGAAUUUCAUUGUCCUUCUAACAGGCUCCCUGUAAAGACAUAUAGACCCAUGGCUGCUAAAUAUUUAAAGACUGUUCCAAAGUGUCCAUCAAUCUGCUGGAGGUUAAAGAUCAUCUUUAAAAUGACUGCUGAGAGGGAGGGAGAAAGACAAAAAUGAGGGAUAGAAGCAAGAAGAUAAGGAGUGAGAAGAAGAGAGCACUGAACGAGAAGGAACCAUGUCCUCCUCUGGAAAGAAGGAGAUAGAAUGAGGACGGCCAUUCUGGAUUUAAAGACUGUCAUGUAUGCAGCUUGUAUGAGUUUGAUGCAGAGGCAAACAUUAUUCUACAAAACAGUCCCAGAUGAGUAGUUGCAAAAUAACUCUCUCUCUCUCUCUCUCUCUCUCUCUCUCUCUCUCUCUCUCUCCCCCUCUCUCUCUCCCUCUCUCUCUUUUUCUGAGUGGAGCAGAGGCACUGAAAAAAGGAAUGACUUUACUGACCCAGUUGAGCUAAAAUUAGUGUGAUGUAAAACAGCACUGACUCUUAUCAAAAAAUACGAUUGGUGACUGUGAAUAAAAAGUGCAAAAGUGUGUGUGUGUGUGUGUGUGUGUGUGUGUGUGUGUGUGUGUGUGUGUGUGUGUGUGUGUGUGUGUGUGUGUGUGUGUGUGUGUGUGUGUGUGUGUGUGUGUGUGAAUUGCAUGAAUAGUGUUUGCAGAGCAUUUCGGUGUGCACACAAGCACCAACAUUUCCAUGAGAUCACAUAAAAAGAUGGGCACAGCUGCACAUACUAAACAAGAGGAAGUGGAAACACUACAAGAUGAAAACAGACAGACACCAACAAUGCGUUAAUGUACAUUAUCAUAUACAAUCUGCCACAUACCAAAUAUUCACUCAUGCAAAACACUCACCUGCCAUGCAAAACUGAUUCAUUUGACAAGUACGGAAGUGUAAGUAAAAAUGCUUUGCUUGAGUAUUGCAUAUAGAAUAGCAUUCAUGUGUGACCUCUAUGGUUAAGGUCUGUAUCUUUAAAGCCUUUAUGGUAGUUUUUAUGUAGUUUAUGUAAUGUCAGUGUGGUCCACUCAUGAACUGAUGAGUGAGUGUCUGUUUACAGUGUGCAUUAUGACUGACAAUGCCUAACUCAUCUGAAAUCAAUACUAUUCUCCUCUCCAUUUAAAUCAAAGACUGGAUAGUCAUUUGUCCAAAUCUGUGCUGACUCGAAAAUUAGUAAGACCUAAACUUAUCUCUUUUUAAUUGACUCUCCUGGCAUUUCUUGGAAUAUAUCUCUCUUGCAAUUUCCAUCAAUGCUUAUUGGAAUG